rnacentral:lncRNA from 1 species
GGGAGCAACCGGCGGUAAAUCAUACUGUUCACAAAAUGUUCCUAACUCGUAUUUGACUUUAUUUCUAUCUUUACUAGCUUGUUUAGCUAAUUUAAAAUCAAUACACAUUUUUAAUCCAAUUUUUUGAAUAUAACUAAUAAUAUCACCAUAGGUUAAAUUAUCAUAAUCAAUAUAUCCUAAAUUUUUACUUAAUUCUUCUCUAACUUUGUG